UUUGAUGAUAAUACAAAACAUAUAUAAAGUUUGAGGAUGAACAAGGAUGCGGCCACUUUCAUUUUUGACAAAAAACAUCUGAAAAGUGACGUUUUUUUGGCAUAUUUGAUAGAUUUUUUAUAUUAAAACUUGAAUCAGAGCGUUUUUAGUUAAAAUGUUUCACGUAAAUUAAUCAAAUCAAUUGAAAUAGACACUUCCCUGUUUUAAAAGUAUCCAAAAACUUUCGUUAGAUGAACCUGAAAUUUGAGGCCAAAAUUGGCCCUUACCGGACCUACUCCUUUAGAUAAAAUGUUGAGGGUGGAUACAUAUUGAUAUGUAUAGAUGAAGAAGGAUUAGAAUUUCUUUUCUUCCAUCUAUGGCAUCCAUUUGAUUUGAAAAGGUUUUAACUGAAUCACAAGGACAAAAAUUUGUCAUUUUUCAUGCUAUCCAACAUUUUGAUGUAUAUAAACAUUAUUUAACUUAAGAAUGGUGGUUUUUGAUGGAUUGAGGAUGUCCCUGCAUAUCUAACCACAUUCAUUCAAAUUAAACCACUGUGAAUUAAUUUUCAAUUUUUAACUUUUUUCUAAUGGUAGCUUUCAGUAAAACAAGUUGACUUUGGUUGAAUUUUAAAGGUAUUUCUGCAUGUUGCACUCAAACAUUGCAACUAAAGGGGUUACAUACUCAAAUUAUAUAAAAUCAUAAAUCAUAACCAAAACGAACUUUAAAUUAUUCUAUUCAAUAGAAGUUUUAACUAAUUUGUUAUUUAACAAACAUUCCGACCUUUUUAAGGUUAAUACAGUGAAAAAGACUCACAAAAGUUAAAAGGUGCUACAUGUAUGCGAGACAAUUUGACAAAUGUUACAGAUUAUUUAUCAUUUUUCUUUCAUUGUAAUAUUUAAAAAAAGCUAAAUAUUAUUUGGGUGUGAAUUAUUUCCCUUGUCAAUGAUUGAUGAUUUAUCCCUUAUGUUCAAUUUCAUUUGUACUUGCACAAUACAUAUG
rnacentral:lncRNA from 1 species